rnacentral:sRNA from 1 species
CUCAUGGGGUGGGUCUUUCAAGCUCAUUCUCUUCAGGGAUCUUCAGCACACCAAUUCUGUAGUCACAAUCAACUACAAUCGCUGACUUGAGAUGGCCACAUCUUCAAGAGUGAUGUUGUUGGUCCUGAAGAAGAGUCCGGUACUCUGAUGCCUCUGGGGCUGAGAGCUCAGGGUGUGGGCACUACCGAGUUCCUCAGCAGCAUCUGCUGUCUCUUCUGCUCAUGGAACAGCUAUUUUCUUACUUUGACUGUGUGAUUGCAUGAGGCAAGCUGCUCCACGGAACCACCCAGAAGACAUGCUCUGGAAUCAGGUUGACGAUCUCCAAAUGUUAGUUUACAUUCUCAGGUUCAUCCAAACGUUAUCUACCCAAGGGGUCUUGAGAAGAACGAGGAGACAGUGGACAGAGCCUUCUUAUACUCUGACCUGGCCAAGAGAGAGGAUCCUGGUGGGCAGAUUUCUCAUCUAUGAGGCCAAUCUGAUCGUCAAACUGAUGUAAGUCCUGCCAUCUUGAAUUUUCAUUUUUCUUAUUGUUGUGAUGGAAUGCUUCACAAAGGCAGCUUAAUGAAGGAUGGAUUUAAUUUCAUAUUAUUGGGUGGUGGGGAAGGCAUGGCGGCGGGCAUAUGAGGAAGCUGGUCACAUUACAUCUUCAGUUAGGAGGCAGGGAGAGAUGAAUGGUGGGACCCUGCUUACCCUCUCCCUUUUAUUCACGUUGUGA